rnacentral:tRNA from 1 species
GGAUUGAUGGUUCAGUGCUAGAAUUCUCACCUUCCAUGUGGGAGACCUGUGUUCAACUCCCAGCCAAUGCA